CGUCCCUUGCGCGAGGCGGCGGCUGGGCCACGCCAUCUUGGCCGGUGGCGGUAAGAACACGUUGUGCGUCGGAGAGCUGAAGGCUAGCGCCGCUCUGACCGCUGCACGCCCGGUUGUAAGAGGACCGUCGUCUCCAGGCAAGCCAGAUAUUCUUUGUUACAAUUAUGGCAGACAAAUUAACAAGAAUUGCUAUUGUCAACCAUGACAAAUGUAAACCUAAGAAAUGUCGACAGGAGUGCA